UCAUUCGAUUACUAUUAAAUAUAUUAAAUUAAAUUAUUCGAUUAAUUAUAUACAACUUAUUCACCACCAUUCAUUAUUCAUGACAAUUUAUGCAUAGAAAAGUCAACAACUUUAAUAGCAAAUUGUCGAGGAAAUAUUCAAAACAUUUCCAUGAAAAUGGCGUAAUUUACACACGUUUAGCGACAGCUGCUAGCUUAUAAUAGUUUCUGGCCAAUUCUGGAAAUGUCAAUGCCGUGUCCGUAACCGAAGCGACUGGCCAAAACCAGUCGCAUCGCAUCAACAAAGGCCCCAUAAAUAAUUUCGUUCGCAAUUCAAUUUCCAGCUAAAUGCCGGCGUCACAUUUGACAGAGUGUUGGAGUUAUGCCUCAGCGAACACCCUCUUGGCCAAUUUGGUAGUGGCAACUGUUGCAAAAUGCGCACUUUUCACACCCGGGGCCGCAAAUAGUAUUUAGAGUGUGCCCCUGUGUGUGUGUGUGUGUGUGUGUGUGCUGGCAAAUCGCAUAAAUCAUACGCCCAGUUGUACACGAAGGAUACUCGGAUACUUGGAUACUUGGAUACUUGGGGCGUUAAUUCAAUACGAAGAAAACGUUCGGUCGACUUCAGUACCUGCUGGCAGGAUGCCGAGCAACCAGUCAGCCAGCCAGCCAGCAGCCAGGACCUGCGAGAAUUGCCCCUGCUGCUUCAGCUGUUGCUGCCAACGGCAGGCGUCGCAAACUUUUGCGAAAAAGGUCAAUUAAACUGCAUUAAGUUUAAUAACUUUUGUGCAAACGAACGAACGAACGAACGUUUCAUUCGAACGUACUGGCGCACUGUUACCAUGUAUCUGCAGAGCCAGCCCAUUACUGCCCCGCCCAACACAGCCAGCCCAGCCCAGCCCAGCCCCGACCAUAUUAAAACGAAGGCAAAGGCUUUUGGCCAGCGGAUUAUGUACAAAACAGACAUAGGGGUCCACAAAAAGAGAGAACACGCUACGAGUAGAACGCAACAUAUUGUGCGGCUGGCCACACGCAGCGUCAACAGCAACAAUAACAAGCAGUUAGACGGGGCAUGCACAGCCAUAGGGAUACCCCGUGUUAGCGGCAGCACUUUUUUGACCAGCCCAACAGAGAAUGAGAAAGAGAGAGAGAGAGAGCGAGAGAGACAGGAAGUGGCAGCUGGGCGGCGGAGGGGCGUGGCUCUAUGGCAACGCAAGCCGCUUAACGCAACCAACUGCCAAAUGUAAAUAUACUCCAACCCCAAGUAAAGACCAGCAGCAGCAGCAUGGCGCAGCAGAGCCGCAAGCGGAAUGCGCAUUGUUUUCAGCUUUUCGGCAGCAAAAGCAACAACAACAAGUGGGUAAAUUCAGAACGGAACUGGGCAACUGGGAGCUGGGAGCUGGGAGCAGGGAGCAGGAGGCGACAAGGCAGCGCCGAGCACAGCGCAGCGCAGCGCGGGAUGCGGCGCGGCUUGAGGAACUUAAAAACUUUGGCCAUAUCCCGCAGCUAUGAACAACAGCAAUCAAUUUUCACAUGCCGGCGAACAAAUGUGCCGCAACGGGCGGCCCAGCGGCCCUGACUGCGACUCCAACUCUGGCGAGGAUGGCGUGGAUGGUGCUGUGGGGUGGUGUAGUAAGUUGGCCACCCUGCCUGCCACUGGGUAUUUUUUAAAAUUAUAAUGCGGCAGCGUGUGCGCGUGUGAAAAUGCCGUCAUGGCCAUCAUCAAACUGGGCAAACACACUGGACACCAGUCCUGUCCAGGCUAGUCCUGUCCAGGCGAGUCCUAUCCUGGCCAGUCCUAGCGCAGCACACACACAUAUAUUUACCAAGCGCUUCACAUUACGUCCAGUUCCAUCAAAUCAGUGCAGACACGCCCACGCCCACGCACACCACUCAAACGCCUCCAUCGUGAGCGCGUCGCUGAUUAAUUUCUCGUUUUUGCGCCAUUUUCUAUUUGUCUUGGUCUUGGUAAUUACAACAAGUUCCCUCGCACAAGAUAAACACAGCAUCUGGAGCAGCGGCAGUGGCAGUGGCAGUGGCAGCAUCCGUGGCAGCAGCAGCAUCAGUAACAUCUGCCAGAGCCAACAGCCAGAAGCUGCCCCGGCGCGAAGUGAUUCGCAGCUGGGUGAAUGCUUCCGGUAAUUGAAUCAAAUGAAGCAGCAUUAAGGGCGCCGGCCAGCGAGCGAUACGGAGCUCGACGUGAGCUAGUUUACCCGCAGCAGACGCCAAGGGGCGGAACGGCAAACGAAUUGAGCGUGUGUAUAGAAUAUAUAUAUACAUAUAAAUAUACCAUGUUAUAGGACUUGCUUGACUCAGAGAUACUCUGUAAAUGUAUAGGAAAUUGUGUAAAAUAUAGAGUUUAUUUAAUAGUCCAAAAAUAGUUCCAGAGUCUUAUAGAAAACUUUGAUUCGAUGAUAGCUAUAUAGCUUAUAUAUACCUCUCUAUAU